GCCAGCCCAGCCCCGGCAGGAUCCGCUUCGCCAGGAACGCGCACGCCGGCGCACCGAACAGGAACAUGGCAAAUUCGACCGUCGCCUUGCCGGAGGGCAGCCAGGUGCGGUGAUUGGACAAGGUCUUCGGACAGAGCAGAGACUUCUGAUUGAACAAGCUAGGCACCUUUAAAAUGUAAGAAAGUUUUUCUACUCACGUUAUAUGCUUCCUCAAGAAUCCUUUUCUCCGGUAUUCUGUACUGCAGCUGCCCACGUUCCUCGCAAAACAUUCUGAAGAGGCACAACCUUGAUGUAAGACAUCAGCAAUAAAAGUCACGGCAUCCAUCCGGUUGAA